rnacentral:rRNA from 1 species
AGUGAACGCUGGCGGUAGGCCUAACACAUGCAAGUCGAACGGCAGCACAGUAAGAGCUUGCUCUUACGGGUGGCGAGUGGCGGACGGGUGAGGAAUACAUCGGAAUCUACUUUUUCGUGGGGGAUAACGUAGGGAAACUUACGCUAAUACCGCAUACGACCUACGGGUGAAAGCAGGGGAUCUUCGGACCUUGCGCGAUUGAAUGAGCCGAUGUCGGAUUAGCUAGUUGGCGGGGUAAAGGCCCACCAAGGCGACGAUCCGUAGCUGGUCUGAGAGGAUGAUCGGCCACACUGGAACUGAGACACGGUCCAGACUCCUACGGGAGGCAGCAGUAGGGAAUCUUCCGCAAUGGGCGAAAGCCUGACGGAGCAACGCCGCGUGAGUGAUGAAGGUCUUCGGAUCGUAAAACUCUGUUAUUAGGGAAGAACAAAUGUGUAAGUAACUAUGCACGUCUUGACGGUACCUAAUCAGAAAGCCACGGCUAACUACGUG